CUCAGCAUUUAGAUUUUAGUAUUGUAAUUAAGUCAAGAAAUCAUGUUCUUGCAUUUCUGCGCAGAUUGAAUUUGACACUAUAUUAGACUCUUACCAAGUUACAUUUGACUGAUAUCAUUGAUGACAACAUAAGGUUUUGGCUCUGUGAAACAACUUUCUCUAUUGUCAACAUAUGGCAACUUUACUGGAGAGAAGCAUCAGAUGUUACUUUAGGAAAAAUGAAAUCGAAAAAUGUACAAAUGUGUCUAAUCAAAGCCUCAUUAUGCCAGAUAUGAGAAAGAACGACACAUCAAGUUAAAUCAAAUAAUGAUUAGUGAAACAACUGGUGGGUUAGGGACUGAUCACUGUAACGUAGAAAGGGAAGGUUGUCUAACUGUGCAAUAGAGACUUUAGCUCGACUGAAAAACGUUAUGUUGUGUUGUAGGUCUCUGUAUCAGGUGUUUGUCUCUCUCUCACACCGGAGUCUCAAUAACUGACUGUAGGUGUACAACUAGGCUACAGUAUAACCCACCCACACUCAUCACCAUAGUAAAAAUAGGAUCAGCAUUAAUAAUCAUUUAUUACAUUUCUAUAGCUCUUUUCAUAGAAUCAUAGAGCGAAAAACAAACAAGCAAUAUAUCAUGGCAGGUAAACCAGUAGACGCCAGGUAAACCAGUAGAGGCCAGGUCAACCAGUAGAGGCCGGGUCAACCAGUAGAGGCCGGGUCAACCAGUAGAGGCCGGGUCAACCAGUAGAGUCCAGGUCAACCAAUAGAGGCCAUGUUUUUGAAAGCUGUAUCCUCUGAAGAUAGAGAGGGUCAGUUCAUGGCUUGAGGCGAGGGAGCUGGUCAGGGGAUGGUAGAUGGUGAUUGGUUGUCUCAUAAUAAUAGGCCCUGUACUCCAUGCCUUCUGCCUCUGGACCUCUCAGUGGAGGAAAAUAAACAGCCAGUGAUCAAAUUAAUAUAAUCUUAUGUAAAUGAGGAUUUUAAUAAUCCCAUCUGCAUUAUCCAUCUACAUUAUCAUUAUCAGUGUGAUCAGAGAAGCCAAUUGGCCCACUAUAAACUGCCUUGGGAAGAGAGGAGAGGAGGAUGACAGGAUGAGAUAACAGUCUAAAUAUAGCAAGCUGAAGCUUCCUCAAGGCAUCAUAAAACCCAUGAUUACACCAACAUAAUUAACAACAGAUUAUUAUUAAAAACUGCACAUGGAAUACCAGAAGUACAGUAUAAUUCACACAAUAGAAAAAACAUGACCGAUUGGUUGGUUUUCCAAAGGUCAUGUUAAGAUGAUGACUGACAUGGGAGAUUAUCUAGCAAUUUCCUGUGACUGAAUGGUUGGUAGAAAAUGGUUUUAAAAACGUUACAUUCUUCUCAGAGCCUUUAAAGAGUUCCAAUGGUAGAAGGAGGUAAUGUCAGGUGGAUGGCUGGAUCUGAUGUUAUCCCAAUGUUGUGUUUUGGUUGUAUCAACGUUGUAUCAAUAUUGUACCAACCCAACCCAAACAAGAUGUAAAAACCCCAGAGCUUGAAUUACCAGUAGGCCAUAUAUAGCAAUGACUUUCAGUGUUUGUUUUUCUAGAUGAAAAGGGAAACGAUCAUUUUGGCAAAAUUCCAUUCCCCCCCAUCAUUCAUUGCUUUUCUCGAUUCCUUUUUUGUCAUCCAAGGGAGGGCAGGUGUGUAUGUGUCUGUGUGUGGGACAGAAAUGUAAAACAAAAGAUUUUCCCACAAAUCUUCCUGUUUGUUUCUGUAUAAUUUCCCACACUUAUACUGGAAACAAAAAUGUGUCCUUAGGACUUCCUGGGAACAUCACGAAAUGGUCGUCAAGACAUUGUGUCAUGGUCCUGUGGAGGUUUUGUUUAGUUCCCCGGUUGCCAGAACCAAACAGGAACCUGUUCAUAAAGUUCCCUUGUG
rnacentral:lncRNA from 1 species